GCUCUAUCCAAUGGGUUAAAAGGGGGGAAAACCCCCCCAGCUAUUAACCGGAGGUCGAUGGUUCGAUUCCAUCUUGGAGCA